ACGGAAGGCAGCAGUGAGGAAUAUUGGUCAAUGGACGGAAGUCUGAACCAGCCAAGUCGCGUGAAGGAAGAAGGUUCUAUGGAUUGUAAACUUCUUUUGUCUGAGGGUAAAGUGAGAGAUGCGUCUCUUAUUGCAAGUAUCAGACGAAUAAGCAUCGGCUAACUCCGUGCCAGCAGCCGCGGUAAUACGGAGGAUGCGAGCGUUAUCCGGAUUUAUUGGGUUUAAAGGGUGCGUAGGCGGGAUGUUAAGUCAGCGGUGAAAGCGUGUAGCUCAACUAUACCAAGCCGUUGAAACUGGCGUUCUUGAGUGUAAACGAGGUAGGCGGAAUGUGACGUGUAGCGGUGAAAUGCUUAGAUAUGUCACAGAACCCCGAUUGCGAAGGCAGCUUACCAGCAUACGACUGACGCUGAGGCACGAAAGCGUGGGUAUCAAACAGGAUUAGAUACCCUGGUA
rnacentral:rRNA from 1 species